rnacentral:rRNA from 1 species
GACGAACGCUGGCGGCGUGCUUAACACAUGCAAGUCGAACGGAAAGGCCCUGCUUUUGUGGGGUGCUCGAGUGGCGAACGGGUGAGUAACACGUGAGUAACCUGCCCUUGACUUUGGGAUAACUUCAGGAAACUGGGGCUAAUACCGGAUAGGAGCUCCUGCUGCAUGGUGGGGGUUGGAAAGUUUCGGCGGUUGGGGAUGGACUCGCGGCUUAUCAGCUUGUUGGUGGGGUAGUGGCUUACCAAGGCAUUGACGGGUAGCCGGCCUGUGAGGGUGACCGGCGACAUUGGGACUGAGAUACGGCCCAGACUCCUACGGGAGGCAGCAGUGGGGAAUAUUGCACAAUGGGCGGAAGCCUGAUGCAGCAACGCCGCGUGCGGGAUGACGGCCUUCGGGUUGUAAACCGCUUUCGCCUGUGACGAAGCGUGAGUGACGGUAAUGGGUAAAGAAGCACCGGCUAACUACGUG